UGGCGGAUGUCAGCGGUUCAAAUCCGCUUGUCUCCA
rnacentral:tRNA from 1 species